rnacentral:lncRNA from 1 species
AAAUUCUUAUUAGACAAUUGGAAGCUGAAUUAUGAUAUUCCACUUUUAGGAGCGUGUUUGGUUCGCCUCUUUUUCGCUCAGGAAUUAGAAUCGAAAUGGAAGAAUCCGUUUGUCGGUAUUUGGCAUGUGGUAGUUUAAUUCUGAUUUCGAUUUUCGGGUCAAUAGAUAUCUCGCAAUCACCUUGUUUUAUAAUCCUGCCUAGAAGACCGAAUUGAAAGUUGAAUUCAAGCGGAAAAAAUAUAUUUUAUAAGAAUAUCUCAAUAAUAUUUUAUAUUUUUAUUUAAAAUUAAAUUUAAUUUUUUGACUUUAAUUUUUAAUUAAAAUAUAAAUUUAAAUUUAGAGAUUAAAUUUUUAAUUCUAGAUUUAGAUUUAGAAAUUAAAUUAAAAUAUAAAUUGAAUCAAGCAUUUUG